GGUUUCCUGCUGUAGUUGGUUGACACCAGUCUAACACACUGGUGGUCCCUGGUUCGAGCCCGGGCGAAAUCA
rnacentral:tRNA from 2 species